GUUAUAUCCUAGAACAGAAUCUAUAAUUGUUCUAGAAAUUAGGUAGAAAUCAUACUUUGAGCUUAUGUUGGAUUUUUUUCGCAUUUUAGUAAUAAAUAUCGAUCCAAUAAAUUAUUUUAAAUAAAUUUUAUAGUUCACAUAUACUAAAUAUCUUUUUUUGGUUCCCAUUAGAACUGAAAGACAGUAAGCAAAUUUUAUCUAUUACAAAGAACUUUAAAGUUGAGAAUAUUGGACCUCUUCCUAUAACUGUUUCGUCUCUGAAAAUUAAUGGGUAUAACUGCCAAGGUUAUGGAUUCGAGGUGCUGGAUUGUCAUCAGUUUUCCCUGGACCCAAACACAUCCCGCGAUAUCAGCAUUGUGUUCACUCCAGACUUUACCUCCUCCUGGGUAAUUCGGGACCUAAGUCUUGUAACCGCAGCGGACCUAGAAUUUCGCUUCACUCUCAAUGUGACUCUCCCUCAUCACCUGUUGCCCUUGUGUGCAGACGUGGUUCCAGGACCCAGCUGGGAGGAGUCAUUUUGGAGGCUCACGGUCUUCUUUGUCAGUUUGUCCCUGUUGGGUGUGAUUUUAAUAGCCUUCCAACAAGCACAGUACAUUCUCAUGGAAUUCAUGAAAACAAGACAGAGGCAAAAUGCUAGCUCCUCUUCACAGCAAAACAAUGGUCCUAUGGAUGUAAUCAGCCCCCAUUCUUGCAAGUAAGAAUUCUUAUAGUGUGGUUGGGAGCGGGGGUGGUUUCUCACUUUUGAUAUUACUCAUUUCUGAUUUAAUUUUAAGUAAACAUAAAUUUUGAUUCCACAUUUGCUUUCAUAAAAUUUUAAGUCAUUAUGUGAACAGCUGCCCCAUUAUUAUUAUGAGAU
rnacentral:sRNA from 1 species